ACUAAGGUUCGAUUCGAGCGUUAGCGAGAAAGCGUUGCCGCAGGCAACGACCCGAAGGG
rnacentral:sRNA from 1 species